rfam:Geitlerinema sp. PCC 7407, complete genome.
GCUGGUGUCUAUAGCGCAGUGGAACCACACUGAUCCAUCCCGAACUCAGAGGUGAAACGCUGUAGCGGCGAAGAUAGUUGGAGGGUAGCCUCCUGCAAAAAUAGCUCGAUGCCAGCU